rnacentral:rRNA from 1 species
CCUACGGGAGGCAGCAGUAGGGAAUCUUUCACAAUGGGCGAAAGCCUGAUGGAGCAACGCCGCGUGCAGGAUGAAGGCCUUCGGGUUGUAAACUGCUUUUAUAAGCGAGAAAGAUGAUGGUAACUUAUGAAUAAGGAUCGGCGAACGACGUGCCAGCAGCCGCGGUCAUACGUAGGAUCCGAGCAUUAUCCGGGGUGACUGGGUGUUAAAAGUUGCGUAGGUGGUCUAAUAAGUAGCUAGUGAAAUCUGGUGGCUCAACCAUUCAGACUGGUAGCUAAACUGUUAAGCUCGAGACCGUUAGAGGUAACUGGAAUUUCUAGUGUAGGGGUGAAAUCCGUAGAUAUUAGCAGGAACACCAAUGGCGUAGGCAGGUUACUGGGACGGUUCUGACACUCAGGCACGAAAGCGUCGGGAGCAAACAGGAUUAGAUACCCGGGUAGUC